rnacentral:rRNA from 1 species
CGCCUUGCCAGCCCGCUCAGAACUUAAAGGAAUUGACGGGGCCCGCACAAGCGGUGGAGCAUGUGGUUUAAUUCGAUGAUACGCGAGGAACCUUACCUGGGCUCAAAUGUAUGUUGACGUAUUCUGAAAGGGAUACUUCUUCGGACAAUAUACAAGGUGCUGCAUGGUUGUCGUCAGCUCGUGCCGUGAGGUGUCGGGUUAAGUCCCAUAACGAGCGCAACCCCUAUCAUUAGUUGCCAUCAGGUCAAGCUGGGGACUCUAAUGAAACUGCCUACGCAAGUAGUGAGGAAGGUGGGGAUGACGUCAAAUCAGCACGGCCCUUACGUCCAGGGCUACACACGUGCUACAAUGGCCGGUACAAAGGGCAGCUACCUGGUGACAGGAUGCAAAUCUCCAAAGUCGGUCUCAGUUCGGAUCGGAGUCUGCAACCCGACUCCGUGAAGUUGGAUUCGCUAGUAAUCGCGCAUCAGCCAUGGCGCGGUGAAUACGUUCCCGGGCCUU